rnacentral:rRNA from 1 species
CGCCGCGGUUAUACGAGAGGCUCAAGUUGAUAAUCUCCGGCGUAAAGAGUGGUUAAGAAAACUAACACUAAAGCCGAACAUCUUCAAGGCUGUCAUACGCACCCGAAGACAUGAAGAACCCCUACGAAAGUAGCUUUAAAACUUCUGAACCCACGAAAGCCAGGGCA